rnacentral:tRNA from 1 species
GGAAGCGUGGCCGAGUGGUUUAAGGCAGCGGUCUUGAAAACCGCCGUGGCAGCGAUGCCACCGUGAGUUCGAAUCUCACCGCUUCCGCCA